UAGGGAAUCUUCCACAAUGGACGAAAGUCUGAUGGAGCAACGCCGCGUGAGUGAAGAAGGUCUUAGGAUUGUAAAGCUCUGUUGUUGGAGAAGAAAGCAAGUGAUAGUAACUGCUCAUUUGUUGACGGUAACCAACCAGAAAGCCACGGCUAACUACGUGCCAGCAGCCGCGGUAAUACGUAGGUGGCAAGCGUUGUCCGGAUUUAUUGGGCGUAAAGAGAGCGCAGGCGGUUUAUUAAGUCUGAUGUGAAAGCCCCCGGCUUAACCGGGGAAGUGCAUCGGAAACUGGUAGACUUGAGUGCAGAAGAGGGUAGUGGAACUCCAUGUGUAGCGGUGGAAUGCGUAGAUAUAUGGAAGAACACCAGUGGCGAAGGCGGCUACCUGGUCUGUAACUGACGCUGAGGCUCGAAAGCAUGGGGAGCGAACA
rnacentral:rRNA from 1 species